rnacentral:rRNA from 1 species
UACGUAGGGUGCAAGCGUUGUCCGGAAUUAUUGGGCGUAAAGAGCUCGUAGGCGGUCUGUCGCGUCGGCUGUGAAAACCCGGGGCUCAACCCCGGGCCUGCAGUCGAUACGGGCAGACUAGAGUGCGGUAGGGGAGACUGGAAUUCCUGGUGUAGCGGUGAAAUGCGCAGAUAUCAGGAGGAACACCGAUGGCGAAGGCAGGUCUCUGGGCUGACACUGACGCUCAUGCACGAAAGCGUGGGGAGCGAAACAAGGAUUGA